CGCCCUUGGCAGUGUGAGAUGGAAGAUGAUGUCGCAAGGGUGGCGGAGAAGCAGCUGGGCUGAGCUGUUAAAGCACAGAGACCGGGGCCAGACUCCUCAGCCUGAAAUCCUGCUUCCACCAAGCACUAGCUGGGUAAUUUCAGCAAAUGUGUGCUGUCUUCUGAGUCUGCUUGUCCGCUCCCUGGAUGUGUCACCUUGGAAGGUUUAUUUAUCUCCUCUGAUCCCAGUCAUUUUCCUGAUUUGAAAAAUACAUCAGUGGGCAGGAGAACGUGUGAAGACUGAAUGAAGUAAUGCAGUGAAUAAACUUACAGCAACGACUGGCACAAAGACAAGAAUGGAAAUGGCAGCACACGGUAGUCACCUCAAAACCACUUUCAAAAGGAGAGCCCGCACUGUUGUGUCCCCAGGACACCAGGGACUGCAUGGGCACCUUUUCUGUGCCCCCCAUCAUCACCUAGGCAACCCACCUAUCCUUUCUUGGUGAAGAUGAGCCUCUACCUUUUGUGUAUUCUCCCUUUGUGUUUUCAUCUCACAUGCCCUUCCUCGUCUGAAGUCUUGUGUUGAGGACAAAGCAGCCUAAGACGACCGAUGCAGUCUAAUAAACUGCACCAAGACAAGUGCUCAGCAGCAAAUCUAUUUUCCUGACAGUUGUAAGAUGCAAUCUCCUUGUUGUUGGAGGGUGUCAUGCACAGGGCUGGGCUCCUCCAGUCUGCACAUCCUCCAGAGCAUUGCAGUGUGACAGCCUUCAUUAGAAGAGAAACUAACCCCUGGACAAAAUAUUGCCACCCUGGAAAUUCGGCUCUGUGGGGUGCCAUGAAUAUCUUACCUUCUGACAACCAAGUUUCCUCCAGAACUGACAUAUUCUUGGCCAUGUGACAUGAUCUAAACUAAGUUUCCUGGUGGUUUUUUUUCUCUUUUUAAUUGAGGUUUUGCCUGACAAUCUAGAAACUGAACACACUCUGACAGGUGAUGCUAUUUGAAGCAUUUGUUACCGUGAGGAUAGGAGGAGGCGUGAGGCGGGGCCCCUAGCAAAUUCACCUCCCUCUGUCCCCAGAGAAAGUUUCUGAGCUUCGUGGAGCUCAUGUGCCUCAAGCACGUGGCUUUUGCCUUUCCCUUUUCCCGUGACACAAGUACACCUGUGGUAGCAAACGGGUCUGGAACACAUGUGCUGCAGCUGAGGAUCCAGCAAACCAUACCUGAGUGUGCACUGUGUGCCUGGCACUGUGUUCCACCUGGGAUGUGCAUGUUUGGUUUAAUCCUCCUUACCACCCCACAGGAUAGGUAUAUUUGUGUCCACAUUGCACAGAUGUGGAAACUGGGUAACUGAAAGGCUAAGUGCUAAGAUCGCUGAGCCAGUCUGUGACUCUAGCAGAGGCACUUAUCCAAGGAAGAUUUGGCCCCUCACCUCUGUCCUUUAAAAGGUGGGCGGAUUGGCCAGGAGCAGCCAGACUCGCGUUAAAUACUUGUGCUGUUUGAUUUCUUUUUAUUUUUCUGAUAUUUGUUCUCCUUGGAAGAAGAAAUGGACCAGGAAAGGUAGAUGGAAAUCUCUUUAAAUCGAAAAAUGAUCAUAAUGCAUAGAAUCACUGGAAGCACUUACAUUGCCAUGGAGAAGGAAGGGGUCGUCAUCACGUGGAUGUCAGCUCUCUUAGCAGCUUGUUUGUGCCCUACCUACAUCUGAGUGCCUCGAAUCCACCUUCAUGACAAGUAAAACAGGGGCCUCAGAAAGCAAGGGGAGGGGAAAGGGAGUUGGAGCGCCUCCUCGCCAUUGUAGAGAAGGCCUUGCUGCAAGCAUCACUUCAGAUUUGCCUCUGCUUGUGCAUAAACGCACAAAAAGAAGGAAGCAGACAAACAUUCUCAUGGACCCGCAGAAACAACAGACUGCAUUUUGCAAGUUUUCCCAUUUUCCCCGGAAAUGUUAUGCUCUAAAGAGCCUGGUGCUCAGCUGCAGGGAAGUGUUUGUGGUGUCCAAGUAGUGACUGCUGCCCAGACAGAGGAACUACUUGCACCUCCAUUCACCCAAUCCCAUCCACAUCUUUUCCCAGGGUACCCAGGCUCAUAAACUCCAGCAGAUCUCCACCUGGGUGUGCUGGGGUCUGUGCCAUAAGAGGCAGCAUGUGGUAGAAAGGGGCUCAAAUGAGAGUUAGCAGGCUUCAGUUGAGUCCGUCUCUGCCACUUCCAAGUCGGGUUAACUGGGUAAGCUAGGAGACGCUAAAACCCUGGCAACAUCACGCAGGGUGCGUGUGAAGAACAAAUGCAGUGGAGCUCAAUAAAGGGCUUUGUGAGCUCGAAAGCACAAUUCGAUGUCACCCCUUCCCUGACUAGCACGUGGGCUCCCCAGGUUGGACCCCCUUUCCCUCUCCCCUGCAUGUCCACUGCGGGCCUCAGUGUGUCUGGCGGGCAGGUAAGUGCCCAGGUCGCAUACAGCCCUGCGACCUCUGCAGAGGUGGCCGCUUCCUUCUUUGUAUCCAAGUCAUCCUUCCACAAAUACAGGACCUCUUUUUUGUUCUCAAUCGAGAAUAUUAGGAGAGUUCUCUACUCUCACUAUGGUGGCUCCCUUGCUUGUCCCAUGCACCCUGGCAGGAGGUCAGUGAGGGCAGGAUGGGGAGACCAAUUCUCUCUCUCCCUGACUCUCCACCACUCUCCCCCACCCUACCCCCAUCUCUCUCUGCCUUUGUGUAUGUCUGUGGUUCUCUGCCCCGCCACUGUCUCUCCCUCUCUCUCUCCUCUCCCUCUCUCCUUGCCUCUCCCCGCUUUCUCCCUCUCUCUCCCUCUCUCUCCC